rnacentral:lncRNA from 1 species
AUGGACAGAGCUGCCACCCAAGUUGUGCAACACAGAAGCCCUGCCAGUGGAUUCAGUAGCAGAUGGGUCAAUGCGACACAAGUGAAUGUACUGUGGAACCGUGCGUGUAGAGUGGAAGUUCAGACCCUAGAGGACGCCAAACUGAGACCUCAGGAGAGGCCUCGUGCGAGGGGCAGACUGACGCCACUUCCCGCCUCCUCCCUGCGGAUCCCCGUCCUGGACCACGAGCAACAUCCCAAGGCCGGUUGGAGGCAGGGGAGGCGGAGCUGCCUUCGGGGGCGGGGGCGGGCAGGAGUGGGCGGGGCCGGCGAGGGGGCGGGGCCGGGGGGGGGGGGGGCGGGNNNNNNNNNNNNNNNNNNNNNCCGCGUGGGUUCCCGCGCCUCGCAGGUAAGGGCGGGGUGGAGGUCGCGCGUCUGGGGCAGAGCCCUUUUGCUGUCCCGUCUCCUCGCUCCAGGUGAGACUUUCGUCUCCGCGGCCCCUCGGGCCGCCGCGCGCCGCUCCUCCACUACUGCUCGGUCCCCAACAGCUCUCACGCUCGCUCGGGGCCCGUCAGAGUUUGUCCGAAGGCCCCUCCCUCUCAGCGGGGUUCAGCUUCGUCCUCCCUGCCCCUUGGUCACCCUGUCACCAUGGGACAGCCUCCCUGGUCCCGUGCCUGACAAGAGGGCAGUGCCCAGGGGCUUGGCCUGGGCUGUGGGGCGACCUCGUGGGCAGCACCCAGCUUGAGGGACUUGGCGCCAGGAGGUGACGCAGUGUAGUGUUGCCACAGGGAGAAUGGCAUGGGCAAACGCCUGGUGACUGGAACAAGAGCCCAUGUUUGGGAAAUUCCAGUGACUGCGUGUGCCUGGCCAGGGAGAGGAAGGAAGGCUGUGAAAAAAAUACCACCAGGGAGAUCGGGAGGGUGAGGGGUGGGGUCUAGGACAAGGUGCCUGGAGCCACUGAGGCCCAGAGGAAGGGUGUGGGGGGGAGGCCCAGGUGGAGACUGGGACCUGUCAGCUGUGACAGCUCAGCGCCCCCUCCCUCGGGCAGCUCCUCCCUCCUCUCUCUGUCUACCGCCCCAGCUUGCUGGAUAAUCAAGGGGGUUCCAAGGCAGCCCAGGAAAAAGCCUCCGCAGCAGGCAGCACUUCCUUGCUGACCGAGAAAUCAUAGACAGGGUGUGGCCAAGGGGCCUGAGGGGCCAGGCCUUGGAGAACGUAGGGGAGAAAGGGACCCAGCGUGGACAGAGGCCAAGAAUGCGAGAGAGAGAGAGAGAGAGAGAGAGAGAGAGAGAGAGAGAGAGAGAGAGAGAGAGAGAGAGCACAAGGGAGCCAGAGAGUGAGCUAGCAGGUCUGGCUGCUGGCUAGAUAGCUGCAAGGACCGGCAGCUGACUCACCCGGGCAUGCCAAGACUAGCCAGUCUGCCCUCACCCUGCCCCAUGGUGACCAUGAAAGCCGCCUGGGGAGCCUAGGUAUUUGCUGUGUGCCCUGAGGUGAGUCGCCCAGCCUUUCUGAACUGCCUAGAUCAAGUGAGCUUCAUGGGACUGGGAGCUGGAGGCCUGGGUCUGAGCCAUGUAUGUGCUCUAUAGUUAGUGUCUUUGGGCCCUCCCAUUCCUUCCUGGGCCUCAGUUUCCCCAUAUGUACCUCCUGUGCAGACUCCUGAGGAACCUUAGAACUGAAUGGAGUGAGAGGGUAAGAAGGCCAUGCCCUUAACCAGCGAGCCGUAGCUUGGUGAUGGGACUGCUGUUUGAGGGAGGAGACUCUUGCUGGAUCCCUGUGGUGUUAGGUUCAGCACCUCUUUCUCCUUCCUCGUACACACUUAGGUACACUCAUACCUGGCCUGGGUCCUGCCCUCACAUUUCAUUGCCCCUGGGAUGAAGCCUGGGAGCUUCCUAGCCUGGGAGCAGAGGCUCUCAGGACUACCAGACCAGAUGCUUAGCCCCAAAUGCAGUUUUCUCCCCACCCACCACCUCACCAACAAUGCUUAGCCUCUGGCCUUUCCUUUGGGCAGUGUGACUCAAAGGUAGGAGAUCCUUCUGGGGCCACAGACCUGGAAGGGUCCCAGAAUAGUGUUGCCAGUCUGGGUCUGUAAUACUCAGCUCCAGGGGCCCCAGGCUGCACUGAGAGGUAAGGGAAGCUGAGAAACAGCUCCCCAUACUCAGAGGAGCUCCCUUCCAUCAGUUUAUCUAUUCUGAAAGUGUUGGUCACUCGGUCAUGUCUGAUUCUUUGCAACUCCAUGGACUGUAUCCUGCCAGGCUCCUCUGUUCAUGGAAUUCUCCAGGGUAGAAUACUGGGGUGGGUUGCCAUUCGCUUCUCCAGGGGAUCUUCCCGACCAAGGGACUGAACCUGGGUCACCUGCAUUGCAGGCAGAUUCUUUACUGUCUGAGCCACCAGCGAAGCUCCUUUAUCCUUUCUAGGGAAGACUAACAAAGCUGUGAUUUAGUCAGAGUAAAAAGCUAUGAUUUAGUCUUCUCCAUUUCAUA